rnacentral:misc_RNA from 1 species
GAUGAAGAACGUAGCGAAAUGCGAUAAGUAAUGUGAAUUGCAGAAUUCAGUGAAUCAUCGAAUCUUUGAACGCACAUUGCGCCCGCUAGUAUUCUGGCGGGCAUGCCUGUUCGAGCGUCAUUUCAACCAUCAAGCUCCUUAGCUUGUGUUGGGGACCUGCGGCUGCCGCAGCCCCCGAAAUGCAGUGGCGGGCUCGUUGUCACACCGAGUGCAGUAAUCAUUCUUCUCUCCGGGCGUGGCGGCGGGUUCCGGCCGUAAAAUCACCAAUUUAUCAAGGUUGACCUCGGAUCAGGUAGGAAUACCCGCUGAACUUAAGCAUAUCAAUAAGCGGAGA